GAAGGAGGGGGACCUCAUGCGGCAGCCUGCUGUGAGUGCUGUGAAUGGGUUCCAAGAUUGGACAAUGCGGACGGCAAAAGCGUAUAUCUCAUGAUGGCAGUUCCUAGACGGCUGCAGGAGCCAGUUAAGGAGCCGAGGUUUCUCCUGUGCCUGCUGGCUUAUCCAAAGCAGUGGGAAUCAAUUCCCUGAAACCCCAUAGCAUGGACAAGGCCAGAUCCCCUGCUACUAAAAUCAGUGAGAGCAACCGCUGGCUCCUCCGGGACGGGA